rnacentral:snoRNA from 1 species
AAUGGCUCAUAUUGAAGCCUCUUGUGUGUUUCUGCAUGCCUGGGGUCAUAAUGAAGCCUAAAUAAAGAUCUAUCAGACGGUCGCUGGCUGCAUGUGCACUUGCUUCUGGCAUCACCAAAUGGUAGAUACAUGA